rnacentral:pre_miRNA from 1 species
AAAAGUUAAAGCUGACCAGGUGGAAGACUUGUGAUUUUGUUGUUUAUACAUUUUCAGCAACAGCAAAUCCGAGCUCUCCACCCGGAGGCAU